rnacentral:lncRNA from 1 species
ACACUUCCAUGGUUCAAUCCUCAGUCCUGUGGCGGCGCUGUUUCUAUCUUCUUCUUCUUCUUCUUCUUCUUUCCUCAACAACUCUCUACUUCUAUGUUUCAAUUUCUAUUCCUUUAGUUCAAAAUACUUUGUUUUCUUUCUUCUUUUUAAUUGCUUUUGGUUUAGGGUUCUCUGUUUGGAUUUUUGGGAACAACAAAAUCAAUCAAACUUCGACAUGUUUGAUGGUAAAGUUCAAAUCUUUUUUCAAUUGGGUAUCUAAAAAGAGAAAAAGACUGGCAUGGAAAUGAUGGUUAUAGUAAAAGGUUUGAGCUGGAAGAACAAACAUUGGGUAGUAAUGGCAGUGUUUUUGAAGCAAAAAGGGCAAUUUGGUCAAUGAUGAAUGAAGAAGACCCCUGUUCCUUGCAAAGCUAUUGCAAUGUGACACUGCGCAACUUCUUCUAAAUAAAAAAAAGGGUGUUAAGAAAAAGGCGUGGGUUGCAUUCUAGUAUGGAUUGACAACCUAGACUUCUCCCAACACUUUUUGUCGAUUGUGUUUUUUUGUUUUCAAUGCACUGUCUAAUGCUUCCAAUGUAACUUCCAGCAUUGAUUAAAAGCCUUCAUACUGAUCCUUGCCACAAUUCCUC